ACUUAGAGAACUUGUAAGGGUGGAUGAGGCCGAGAGCGCUAAGUCAGGACAUGAAAAACACUAAAAGAAGCAACAAGAAGUCCUAGCAGUAACAAAAGAAGUCUGUCGCUGGUAACCAGCCUGCUGUCACAAGGUCCCCCAGGGAGGGCUAAGAUGGAAAGGGCAGAGGAGAACACAGCUGUCUCUGCGGAGAGCGGGACCUGCGCUGCAUUUGAGGAGGUGGCUAGAGAGCUGCAGAGCUUCAGCAUCCUUAUAAACACACAUUGCUGUUGAGCGCGUCCAGGUACUGAACACAACGGCUAUGGAGAACUGAGUUCACAGCCUGACCUCAAGUGUGCACUGAAAGCAACCCUCUUUGGCUUUCUUAUCACGAAUCCCUUAAAGAUAAAAAACUUUAGAGAUGUUAUGACGCCUCUUCUGAGAUAUGUAUGGAAUGAGAAACUUGGCUCUCUACACUAUGGAUCAGCAAACAGAAGGAUACUUUGCCCGCAUCAGACGACGCUUACCUUGUCUGAAGUCUGAUUCCGAGGAAAUAACAGAUGGGCUUUCACUGGAAAUACUAAAGAUAUCGCUGUGGGAACCGUAACCAAAUCAUAAACCCAGAGAUGCAAGUUUCAGGACAGAGAAACCAGCAAGGCCAAGGAGAGGACCCAGACUGAGAGACAGUGUAGUUCUGUUAUCUCACAGCAGAGGAGGAAGAGCCCUGAACCUGUCCAAUAAACUGACUGGAGAGGGCGCUCACACGUGAACACUGUGCCUCAGAGCACAGCAGCUUCUCGAGCUGUAUAAAGCAGCACAUGGAUGCACUGCUUCUGGGGUAUUUCUGCAGCGUGCGUGUGAUCGCAAGAAAACUCUGAACUGAGUUCCAUUUGCAAGGUCUUGUUUUGCGUCUGUGUUUCCUUUAGUUUACGGUCUCUGCUUUGUCUUUUCCUUUCAGCCAAUUCCUUCAAGAAGAUAAGAACAACUCUGCUUAACCCUCCUGAAAAACGUCUCAUGAAUGCACUCUCCCCUGAUACCAAUUUGUCCAUAGAUGCUUUCUCAGGACCACAUCUAGGUAGGGGUGGGGGGUCUACCAUGUAAUGAACAUGGCUGGAGGCCUGGCUCUCUAGAAACAUUCUAGAUGACUACCUUUAUCUGGUAGGGCAACUAGGGGGUAUGAUAGCAAGAGCUGUGUUAGCUGAAAUGGAAGGAAUUAAUUCUAUAAGCUUCUUGUAUUCUGAGUGUCGUCAAAGUGCUCGCAGGCACAUCCUUUUUAUCUAAUAACGUGCUGGAUAUAACUAAAAAUUUCCACACAAUAUUUUCUAUUCAACCAUGCUUCGAAGAAAAGGUCUCUAAUCAGAUUAAAGCUCUAAACCACAAUUUACCAGAUAGCCAUGCUUACAGCGGAAGUAAAAAGCUUUGACCUUUGUAAGCACACACUUUCCCUCUCUAAAUUAAAUACUACUAUUACCACUUCAGAAAUGUAAAAUUACACGUCCUUCCUUGAGGCCAUCUGACAUGAAAUGGUGAAGCCCAUGCUCCACCUUGCAGUCCACUUGGGCCACACCACUUCUUGGCUCUGUGAUGAUCUACAUGCAUAGAAGUUUCGGUUGGUGCUGACCAGAAAGAUGCAGGUCUCAUUCUCUGCUCUGGUCAGUAACGGGCAGGUAGGACAUAUUGUUUGGUAAAGCUUCUUAGCAUCAGUGGACAUUUUGUUUUCAAAAGACACAAUGCUACUAAUAUUUAUCUUUGUUUCUUUUUGGGAUAUUUGAGACAGGGUCUCUCUCUAUAGCCCUGGAUGUCCUCAGACAUACAGAAGUAUGCCUGUCUCAGAAGUGGUGGGAUUAAAGGCAUGCACCACUGCAAAUGGAGGUGUUUUCUGUCCAUAGCUCAGUGUGUAAUUCUUGCACUCGGGAUUUGGUUCAGGUCCUAGGACUGUAGCAUUAAUUGGGUAAUUAAGAAAAAAAAAGCCCAAUUAUGAUGACAUUUCCCAAAUAUAUAGAAAAAUAAACAAGAUAAAUGUCAUAUACACAUUUCUCAAUACCAACCAGAAUUUAACUGGUAUCAGACCAUUUUGUGCUUGUGUACUAUGUGCACAUGCCUAUGUAUGUGUACAUAUGCAUGUAUUUGCUCAUAGACACAUAUAUGUGCUCACCUGCACAUAUGCCUACAGAGGCCAGAGCUUAGGGAUUUGGGCAGGCUGGUGUCAGUACGCCUAUAGAUCUGCCUGUCCUCACUUCCCUGGUACUAGGAUUGUUGGUGUGCAAUACCAUGUCCUGCUUCUGUUUGGGUUCUAAAGACUGAACUGAAAUUGUCAUGUGUGCCCCCCAAACAUUUAAUUUAGCAACUGAGCUACAUUCCUAAACCUUAACCCACUUCUAAAGCCCCAAAAGAUCCCUUUAAAAACAUAUUUACAGAAUAUUACAAGGUCUUCUGAAUAAUAAAAACAGUGAUCAUAUGCGAUGGACCCACAAUAUACACAUCUAAAAAUACAUUCUAUAAGAUUCCCACGUGGCCAACACGUUUAUCACAGUUUUCCUGGUGUAGUAGGGAACUCUGUGCUCUUGCCAUUAUGACUGAAGAAUGUAUUCACCUUCGGUGGGUUAAACUACUCUCUAUACCUCAUUUGUUGGUUUAUAUAUAUUUUUAAUCUCCUAAUAAAUGUGCACAAAAAACCUUCAGU
rnacentral:lncRNA from 1 species